UACAACCAAACUCCAAGAGAUUAAGAUUUGCGACAAGAUCACACAUAUUGUCAAACAUCCUCCUCAUUAUGCUCACGCGUGCUUUCUAUAUCCAAUCCAACGGCCACAAUUCAUCCCACAAACCCAUCCAACGACCCACAUUCUCUCUCUUUGACUCUCACCUGCAACAAAAAAGCACCCACUGUCCCCUGCACCCAACAUCAAAACCCACCCACUUCUCUCCAUGUUACUUGUCUCCCUCAUUUCACACCAUAUCAACACCACUUUCUUUCCAAAGCUUUCAUCUUUAUCCAAGAUUCUGAAUUUCUUGGGGGGGUCAUAAUAAUAUAAAAACUAAAUUUGAAGAAGUUGAGCAACAUGCCGUGGACCUCUUUUGGAACGACUUCUUUCACGAUUUUCUAUCGGUUCAUACUGUAAUUUGAUUUUCUAAGGCUUUUUUGUUGGUUUUUUUUAUUGAGAAUGUUCAUCGGUGUUGCACAAAGGAGGAUUCAAAUCGUGAAAGAAGUCGGGAAAACUAAAAUGAGUGUUGGGAUCAUCGCCUAUUACAAUUUGAUGCAAGUUUGUCAGGCUGAAUAUUUCCGUCAGUUACUUAAGCCUGUUACGUAGACUUGACUUUUCAUAGUCAAAGCUUGUUUUUGUCCUUUCGGUUAUUUUUUCACAUUAGAAGACAGUAAAGAUAUUGAUCGGUUAGUCGUUGGUGAUUAUUACAAAUCGGGAACAUAAAUCUCUCCAGUACAAAAAAAUGGAAAUAACUUGAAAGUGCAUCAUUCGCACUACUCAUCGCGUUUACGAUUCUUGUUUUUUUAGCAUCACACUAAGCCCUGAAAACCAAAACUACAUAUAAAAAACGCGCAAGUUCAGAGUUCAGACGCAUUUAGUUAGAAGACGUAAUGCAGGGUGACCAACAUAAUUUCCCGCAACAUCAAGAUCAAAUGGGCUCGUUUUUUGGUCAAAACGUUGACUUACAUCCAUCAUGGGAUUGCCCGAGAAACUACGUAAUUUUCGACAGGACGGAUAACUGUAACCAGGUCAUGUACAACCCUGGUAUAAACACUGCACCGAUGCAAAAAGACAAAUAUACCCCCAGGGUUACAGAAGAAGAUUCGGCGGAUAUUGAUGCAUUGUUGAGCUAUGACGACGAGGAUGAAAAUGAAGAAUAUGAAGACGACGAGGUUAGCACAGCACGAACGUAUGGAGAUGACACGUAUGAUACAUCUGAUUCUUGCUCUUCGAGACGAAGAAACAAGUGGGUCGGGUCAACGUCGUCUCAUGGGUCAAAGGGUAGUUCGGGAAAGCGUGAGAAGAUGAAAAAGAUGGUGAAGUCUCUUAGAGGAAUUGUUCCUGGUGGUAAUGCGGAAAUGAACACAGUCGAUGUUCUUGAUGAAGCUGUUAAGUACCUCAAGUCUCUUAAAGUUGAAGCACAUAAAAUGGGCUUUGGAAAUUUGCCGGGUUGAAAUUUGAACCCGCUAGAAAAUGACUAUUGUGCCCCUGCUGGUAGGAUGUUGGCGCCUUUGUUUCUCGAGGUGUCUAAGCUGGGUAGAAGGGUAAUUUUACAUGCUUUUGUAUUCGAGAAUGAUGAACGUAGGGCUUUAGUGUGUGGUUAUGUGUUGUUUAUGACGCUUAGUUUAAUCUCGAUUUAUCGAAUAAUUGUUGUGUUUCUGCUUUUAAUUCAUAGUUUUGGUAUGAGUCAAUUUAGGAAUUCAAAUCAGGUUUUAAGCAGUAUAGAAUACACUACACCUUGUUAUUUUCUAA
rnacentral:lncRNA from 1 species